rnacentral:rRNA from 1 species
AUGAUGUGCGGUUUCAGUACUACUAGGUGUGAGGAAGAGGAGGUUAGCCUUGAUGGCCAGGUGGUACCCCAGAAGGACACCUUUCGGUAUUUGGGGUCAAUGCUGCAGGAGGAUGGGGGUAUUGAUGAAGAUGUGAACCAUCGAAUCAAAGCUGGAUGGAUGAAGUGGCGCCAAGCUUCUGGCAUUCUCUGUGACAAGAGAGUGCCACAAAAGCUAAAAGGCAAGUUCUACAGGACGGUGGUUCGACCCGCAAUGUUGUAUGGCGCUGAGUGUUGGCCGACUAAAAGGCGACAUGUUCAACAGUUAGGUGUGGCGGAGAUGCGUAUGUUGAGAUAG